UACGUAGGAGACGAGCGUUGUCCGGAGUUACUGGGCGUAAAGGGUGCGCAGGCGGCCUGGCGCGUCGCGGGUGAAAUCUCCUGGCUCAACUGGGAGGGUGGUCGCGAGACGGCUGGGCUUGAGGCUCGGUGAGGGGCGUGGAAUUCCGGGUGGAGCGGUGAAAUGCGUAGAGAUCCGGAGGAACACCGGUGGCGAAGGCGGCUUUCUGGGUCUUACCUGACGCUGAGGAACGAAAGCCAGGGGAGCGAACGGG
rnacentral:rRNA from 1 species